ACACAUGCAAGUCGAGGGGCAGCAUGGUCUUAGCUUGCUAAGGCCGAUGGCGACCGGCGCACGGGUGAGUAACACGUAUCCAACCUGCCGUCUACUCUUGGACAGCCUUCUGAAAGGAAGAUUAAUACAAGAUGGCAUCAUGAGUCCGCAUGUUCACAUGAUUAAAGGUAUUCCGGUAGACGAUGGGGAUGCGUUCCAUUAGAUAGUAGGCGGGGUAACGGCCCACCUAGUCUUCGAUGGAUAGGGGUUCUGAGAGGAAGGUCCCCCACAUUGGAACUGAGACACGGUCCAAACUCCUACGGGAGGCAGCAGUGAGGAAUAUUGGUCAAUGGGCGAGAGCCUGAACCAGCCAAGUAGCGUGAAGGAUGACUGCCCUAUGGGUUGUAAACUUCUUUUAUAAAGGAAUAAAGUCGGGUAUGUAUACCCGUUUGCAUGUACUUUAUGAAUAAGGAUCGGCUAACUCCGUGCCAGCAGCCGCGGUAAUACGGAGGAUCCGAGCGUUAUCCGGAUUUAUUGGGUUUAAAGGGAGCGUAGAUGGAUGUUUAAGUCAGUUGUGAAAGUUUGCGGCUCAACCGUAAAAUUGCAGUUGAUACUGGAUAUCUUGAGUGCAGUUGAGGCAGGCGGAAUUCGUGGUGUAGCGGUGAAAUGCUUAGAUAUCACGAAGAACUCCGAUUGCGAAGGCAGCCUGCUAAGCUGCAACUGACAUUGAGGCUCGAAAGUGUGGGUAUCAAACAGGAUUAGAUACCCUGGUAGUCCACACGGUAAACGAUGAAUACUCGCUGUUUGCGAUAUACUGCAAGCGGCCAAGCGAAAGCGUUAAGUAUUCCACCUGGGGAGUACGCCGGCA
rnacentral:rRNA from 1 species